rnacentral:tRNA from 1 species
GGGCGAUUAGCUCAGUUUUGGUUAGAGUACUUGCUUGACAUGCAAGGGGUCACAGGUUCAAGUCCUGUAUCGCCCA